rnacentral:rRNA from 1 species
GAUCAUGGCUCAGAUUGAACGCUGGCGGCAUGCCUUACACAUGCAAGUCGAACGGCAGCACGGGAGCAAUCCUGGUGGCGAGUGGCGAACGGGUGAGUAAUAUAUCGGAACGUGCCCGGUCGUGGGGGAUAACGUAGCGAAAGCUACGCUAAUACCGCAUACGAUCUACGGAUGAAAGCGGGGGAUCGCAAGACCUCGCGCGAUUGGAGCGGCCGAUAUCAGAUUAGGUAGUUGGUGAGGUAAAGGCUCACCAAGCCGACGAUCUGUAGCUGGUCUGAGAGGACGACCAGCCACACUGGGACUGAGACACGGCCCAGACUCCUACGGGAGGCAGCAGUGGGGAAUUUUGGACAAUGGGCGCAAGCCUGAUCCAGCAAUGCCGCGUGCAGGAUGAAGGCCUUCGGGUUGUAAAGCUCUUUUACUCGGGACGAUAAUGACGGUACCGAGAGAAUAAGCCCCGGCUAACUCCGUG